rnacentral:lncRNA from 1 species
UGUAAUACUAUGAUGUGGUCGUGAUAUGGUUGUGAUUGAGACAGAUGAUGUGUAAUACUAUGAUGUGGUCGUGAUAUGGUUGUGAUUGAGACAGAUGAUGUGUAAUACUAUGAUGUGAUCGUGAUAUGAUUGUGAUUGAUGACAUGUGCAUAUUCAUUAUUCAUCCCAUGUGUGAACUAUCUGUUGCAUGAGUUCUGAGACACUGAUAUGAGGAUGGAUGGAUAUGAGACACAGUUGAGACUAGCUCCGGCUAGAGAUAUAUAUGAGAUGGACUAGCUCCGGCUAGCGAUUUGGAUGCCGAUGGGAUCUGGUUCCGGCGGUGAUACAUGGUCCAUGUGUGGCCCCCAUGGGUUAUGAUUUG